GUCGUAGUCUUGCGGACGCUGGCGCUACGGUGGGAAUAAUGGGAGGCUGGGGACAGCGGGGACUACAAGCAAGAUGGCGGAGGGCGUGCCAAGCCUGGAGUCGAGGAUGCUGGGAGUUAUAGUUCGGUUGUCCCAAGGCUCCCCGUUACAGAGCAUAGAGAAGGAGCGGGAACGAUGACUACAAACAAGAUGGCUUUCUCCCCCGACCUACUUCCCAGGCACUCACACGCCCUUCUGUCCACAACCCUCCGCGUGUGUGGUACCUGACGGGAGUCGCAGUACAUCUGCUGCCUUCCCGCUGCCAUUUCUGUUCGUCAGGAACAAUGGAAAGGUGAAAAGGAACGAGGACUACAAGCAAGAUGGCGGAAGAGGGGCGUACACCUGACUAGUAGUCGAUCUUAUGAGGUGCGAUGGGAAUAGUAGUUUUUUAGCCUUCCAGUGCUCCUUAAGAAUGGCGGAACCAGGAGGAUAAGGAGACUACCAUAAAGAUGGCAGGUUACCUAGCCUCUCCCCGUCGCCUCAUUCUACCACCUUGGGCACCUCGCCCGCCUGUAAUAUCCAAAUCCCCCUCCCAGUAGCGCAGAGCCUGACGGGAGUUGCAGUCUUCCCGGCUCCCCUCUGUUAUCUUCAGUCUAGACAAUGGAAGGGGAAAGGGGCCGGCAAGGAAAGCAGCAAAGAUGCCGGCCAAAGGAAAGAAGAGACGGCGCCCUGGGACUUGUAGUCCGCGUGCUAAGGCUACUCCUUGCGGAAACGGGGGGAAGAACUACAGUAAAGAUGGCGUCAUAUCACUUGCACUCUGCGCCAGUGCCUGCUGGGGGACGUAGUCCCUUCCUUAGCUCUACGGAGAAAGGACGUAGGCUGUUGGAAUGUGCAUCACCGCGGACACGCCAAAUUGCGAGCCGACGGAAACAGAGAGUCUCUUUCCUCCUCUCCCCACCACCCCCUUCUGAACAACCUGCCGGGAAAUGUACUCCCACACCUUCACUCGCUAGUGGAGGGGGAGAAUUUAUGUCUCCACUGGGGAUCAGUGGAGGUGAGAGAGAAAGACGUCCGGGCGAUCCAGGAAUAUAGAAUAUCCGCCUCCCCGUGUGGCGAGGACUUCAUAUUUCAGGAUAUGUUAAGAGAUGCAAUCACCAACCACCCUGAACCAGUCUGCACCCCACUGCAAGAGCUACGCCUCCACACAGACGGGCUGAGAAGUGCCCAAGAGAUCACCUUUGCUUCAUUUCAAUGUUAAGAUUCCACCCCAGGAGGAGUUUAGGCCUUAUUACCAUAACAUGCCAUGUACGUGGAAGCAUGUUUUCCAACUCCGCCUGCGUGAGCAAGUUCCCACCUCUCCCUUUUGAAUAUUCAUUCCCAUCCGAAACAAAAGGCCCCUGCUUUCUCUUGAUCCGGGAGCCAUGGCUGUGGAAGAAAUUAUCCAUUGUCUCCUUUAUUUGCUGCAAAUAAAUUUUACUUUGUGUGACAGCUA